rnacentral:tRNA from 1 species
AAAAAGAUAAGCUAACUAUUAAGCUAAUGGGUUCAUACCCCAUUUAUAGAAGUCGAUUCUUCUUCUUUUUA